rnacentral:rRNA from 1 species
UGAGGAAUAUUGGUCAAUGGACGCAAGUCUGAACCAGCCAAGUAGCGUGCAGGAUGACGGCCCUAUGGGUUGUAAACUGCUUUUGUUUGGGAAUAAUCGACAUUACGUGUAAUGUUUUGCAUGUACCAUUCGAAUAAGGACCGGCUAAUUCCGUGCCAGCAGCCGCGGUAAUACGGAAGGUCCAGGCGUUAUCCGGAUUUAUUGGGUUUAAAGGGAGCGUAGGCCGUUUGGUAAGCGUGUUGUGAAAUGUAGGAGCUCAACUUCUAGAUUGCAGCGCGAACUGUCAGACUUGAGUGCGCACAACGUAGGCGGAAUUCAUGGUGUAGCGGUGAAAUGCUUAGAUAUAAUGAAGAACUCCGAUUGCGAAGGCAGCUUACGGGAGCGCAACUGACGCUGAAGCUCGAAGGUGCGGGUAUCGAACAGG